UGCAGAUUCAAGGUUUGAU
rnacentral:snRNA from 1 species